UUAUUGAAAAUGUCAACAAGAAAUGAUGUGAAUAGUAUCGUCAAAUCAAUCAAUCUAUCGUUCAAUUGAUCAAUUAAUCGAUAAGACGAAAAGGAAGAAAAAAAUGAAUUAAAACAAGGUGAAAGUAAUCAGUUUAUAUCAUUGAAAUGGUAAUAAUGUGAUCGUAAAUGGAAAUAAUAAUUAAGAGGUAAAAAAAAGGUAAAGGUAAAGCAUAAUGAAAAUAGGUAAAAGUAAAUCGAGUGUAACGAGUUUAGACAAAAUAUCGAUCUAAUGGUAUAAAUCAUUGAUUCCUUUAAGGAGGACAUGAGAUGAAGAGGAAAGAAGCCUGUUGAAAAUUAUCACCCAAAAUGAUGAUAAUGAUGAUGGGAAUGAUGAUGAAAAAUAAUGGACAAAGUAGUACAUUUUACUGUAUCCAGUUUAACCUAUUGUUACCCAAAUGGAUAACAGAUCCGAGUCUUUACAAAUCCAAAUGAUUCCAACGAAACCAUUUCAAACCCAAACUGUAUUUCAUAAAAUUAUCAUUUUCUAAUCUUAAACAAUCGAUAAAUCUUUUAAAUUUAAUAAAUGUUUACCAGGAAAAUGGAUAAACUGUUGUUAAAAAUGACUGGUGAAGAGAAAUUAAAAUGAACCAAAUUCUAGGUUAUUAUCGAUAAAAUAUGGGCUCGGUUUGAACCAUCGAUCGGACCUUUGCAUGUUCACAGAAUCAUCAUUGUCUUCCUUUUCAUCCUUUUUCAUCCUUUUUCACCAACUUUAUUCCUUCACAAUGAAUAUUUGCAUCAAUACUUGAAUAAAACUGUUCAUUGGAAUGACUUUUUUACUUUUGUACUCUUUAGUGAGUUUACCAGUUUUAUUUUGGUUCAUUUGUUGGUUUAUUGGUGAACACACACAAUGUUGAGAUUAAUUAAUCUCAAAGUUUAUACUUUAAAGGUAAAUGUAUAUUAAUAAAUAUAAAUAGUAAGCAAUCAAGCAAAAAAUAAACAAUUUGCUUACUCUUCUCUUCUCA